rnacentral:rRNA from 1 species
CCUACGGGAGGCAGCAGUGAGGAAUAUUGGUCAAUGGGCGGAAGCCUGAACCAGCCAAGUAGCGUGCAGGAUGACGGCCCUACGGGUUGUAAACUGCUUUUAUACGGGAAUAACGCGCCUUACGUGUAGGGCUUUGCAUGUACCGUAUGAAUAAGGACCGGCUAAUUCCGUGCCAGCAGCCGCGGUAAUACGGAAGGUCCGGGCGUUAUCCGGAUUUAUUGGGUUUAAAGGGAGCAUAGGCGGCAUGUCAAGCGUGCUGUGAAAUGUCCGGGCUCAACCCGGGCCUUGAAGCGCGAACUGGGGGGCUUGAGGCCGCAGAAAGCAGGCGGAAUUCGUCGUGUAGCGGUGAAAUGCUUAGAUAUGACGAAGAACCCCGAUUGCGAAGGCAGCUUGCUGCAGCGGAACUGACGCUGAUGCUCGAAAGCGCGGGUAUCGAACAGGAUUAGAUACCCUGGUAGUC